CCCAGACUCCUACGGGAGGCAGCAGUGAGGAAUAUUGCACAAUGGGGGAAACCCUGAUGCAGCGACGCCGCGUGAGUGAGGAAGUAUUUCGGUAUGUAAAGCUCUAUCAGCGGGGAAGAAAAUGACGGUACCUGACUAAGAAGCCCCGGCUAACUACGUGCCAGCAGCCGCGGUAAUACGUAGGGGGCAAGCGUUAUCCGGAUUUACUGGGUGUAAAGGGAGCGUAGACGGAGGAGCAAGUCUGAUGUGAAAAUCCGGGGCCCAACCCCGGAACUGCAUUGGAAACUGUUUAUCUAGAGUGUCGGAGAGGCAAGUGGAAUUCCUAGUGUAGCGGUGAAAUGCGUAGAUAUUAGGAGGAACACCAGUGGCGAAGGCGGCUUACUGGACUGUAACUGACGUUGAGGCUCGAAAGCGUGGGGAGCAAACAGGAUUAGAUACCCCCGUACG
rnacentral:rRNA from 1 species